UCCCACUGGGUUUUCCUUGCAAGGUUUUUAACGAGGCAACUAACAGGCGCAUAUUCAAACAUGUGUACUCUUUUUCCUUUUCAAUAAUUUUUUUCCCAUUGGGUUUUGCUUUAGUUAAGGUUUUAACGAGGCACAUUAUUGAAUAGACAUUCAAGGGGGAGUGUUAUAAAUAGAACUCUAAUUAGAGUGAAUGUCUAUCUUAUAGAAG
rnacentral:lncRNA from 1 species